rnacentral:rRNA from 1 species
GUGCGCCUAGGGGGGCAGCAGUGGGGGAUAUUGCACAAUGGGGGAAACCCUGAUGCAGCGACGCCGCGUGUGGGAAGACGGUCCUCUGGAUUGUAAACCACUGUCCCCAGGGACGAAGAUGACGGUACCUGGGGAGGAAGCUCCGGCUAACUACGUGCCAGCAGCCGCGGUAAUACGUAGGGAGCGAGCGUUGUCCGGAAUUACUGGGUGUAAAGGGAGCGUAGGCGGGGAUGCAAGUUGGGUGUCAAAACUACCGGCUCAACUGGUAGUCGCACUCAAAACUGCAGCUCUUAGGUGAAGUAGAG